AAAUGAAUAGACGGGAGCCCGCACAAGCAGUGGAGCAUGUGGUUUAAUUCGAAGAUACGCGAAGAACCUUACCAGGGCUUGACAUACCGAUUAACAGUCUAGAGAUAGAUGAAUAUACGUCGGAUACAGGUGGUGCAUGGUUGUCGUCAGCUCGUGUCGUGAGAUGUUAGGUUAAGUCCUCCAACGAGCGCAACCCUUGUCCUUAGUUACCAUCAUUAAGUUGGGGACUCUAAGGAGACCGCCGGUGUAAACCGGAGGAAGGUGGGGAUGACGUCAAAUCAUCAUGCCCUUUAUGUCCUGGGCGACACACGUGCUACAAUGGUCGGAACAAAGAGCUGCAAACCCGCGAGGGUAAGCGAAUCUCAGAAAGCCGAUCUCAGUUCGGAUAGGAGUCUGCAACUCGACUCCUUCAAGCCGGAAUUGCUAGUAAUCGCAGAUCAGCCAUGCUGCGGUGAAUACGUUCCCGGGCUUUGUACACACCGCCCGU
rnacentral:rRNA from 1 species